CUACGGGAGGCAGCAGUGGGGAAUAUUGGACAAUGGGGGAAACCCUGAUCCAGCAAUGCCGCGUGUGUGAAGAAGGCCUGCGGGUCGUAAAGCACUUUCGGUUGGGAGGACUGCUUCUAGCACUAAUAUUGUUGGAAGUUGACGUUACCUUCAGAAGAAGCACCGGCUAACUCCGUGCCAGCAGCCGCGGUAAUACGGAGGGUGCAAGCGUUAAUCGGAAUUACUGGGCGUAAAGCGCGCGUAGGCGGCUAGAUCAGUCGGGUGUGAAAGCCCCGGGCUUAACCUGGGAACUGCAUCCGAUACUGUCUAGCUUGAGUACAGGAGAGGAGAGUGGAAUUCCACAUGUAGCGGUGAAAUGCGUAGAUAUGUGGAGGAACACCAAUGGCGAAGGCAGCUCUCUGGCCUGAUACUGACGCUGAGGUGCGGAAGCGUGGGGAGCAAACAGGAUUAGAUAACCGAGUAGUC
rnacentral:rRNA from 1 species